AUUGAACGCUGGCGGCAUGCCUUACACAUGCAAGUCGAACGGCAGCACGGGGCAACCUGGUGGCGAGUGGCGAACGGGUGAGUAAUGCAUCGGAACGUACCUUUCAGUGGGGGAUAACGUAGCGAAAGUUACGCUAAUACCGCAUAUUCUGUGAGCAGGAAAGCAGGGGAUCGCAAGACCUUGUGCUGAUUGAGCGGCCGAUGUCAGAUUAGCUAGUUGGUGAGGUAAAGGCUCACCAAGGCGACGAUCUGUAGCGGGUCUGAGAGGAUGAUCCGCCACACUGGAACUGAGACACGGUCCAGACUCCUACGGGAGGCAGCAGCGGGGAAUUUUGGACAAUGGGGGCAACCCUGAUCCAGCCAUGCCGCGUGAGUGAAGAAGGCCUUCGGGUUGUAAAGCUCUUUCGGCCGGGAAGAAAUCGCACGGGCUAAUACCCUGUGUGGAUGACGGUACCGGAAUAAGAAGCACCGGCUAACUACGUGCCAGCAGCCGCGGUAACAC
rnacentral:rRNA from 1 species